AGGCUGGAAGUCCAAGAUCAAGGUGCUGGCAGGGUUGGUUUCU
rnacentral:miRNA from 1 species